UCCACCGUCCAUUUCAAUCGGACGGCAGCAAGUACUCACAGACCAGCAACAGCCAAACAGCCAACAGGUAGGGAAACCGGAAACGGUCUGCUACAGAUACGGGCAAACGGGCAGGAGCGUAGUCAUGGGGAAAGGACGCCGCCGGCCGGCCGCCCCUCCUCCACUCCCACUUGAACACCCAAGCUUGGUCAGGAUUUCUGAAACUUGAGGCUGAUGGAUACAAAUCAACGGGGUGUCUUGACUUGAAAUGUGCUGGGUUUGUACCAAUGAAGUUUGCGCAGUCUGAUUUCCUCAAAAGGGGCGAAGUAAGAUCUCAAUCAAGAUAUUCAAGAGUAAACAUGAUGGACACUGGUGGCUACACUUCGCCCAUGCUGGUCAAAAGUUUGCUCCGAUGGGAUAUUGGCCUCAGAGUCAUGUCUGACCAUGCAAACCAUUUGAGUUGGGGCGUUUUCACAGGAUCGCGUGCAGGGGAACCCAGCCCGCCAAUGGGUAACGGGCACCGGCUAGGACCAGACUCUGCUGCAUCUGAAGAUGUGCAAUAUGUCAACAAUGUUGGACAGGGCUAUCCAGGUGGCGUCUAUGCAAAAUGAUAUCCCAUGAUGCUUGCUAGCAAGUUAGUGCUACUACGCACGACAAGUUCUACCAUAUCAUCUGCUCUCACCGUCCAAAAUAACUGACUUGGAUUUGUCAAAUCCACAUCUCUUAUUCUGGGACAGAGGGAGCAUUGUUUUUUUUACAUAUACACCACUGAAUGGAAUAGUGGUGAUUUAGGCCAUGUGUGUGAGGUCCAACAAAAUGUGCGAGCAGUCUGUUUGUUCACUUGUUAUGCUUAUUUCCCACGAUGAGAUGCAAAUCACACAG